rnacentral:rRNA from 1 species
AUACGGAAGGUCCGGGCGUUAUCCGGAUUUAUUGGGUUUAAAGGGAGCGCAGGCGGCCUUUUAAGCGUGACGUGAAAUGUAGGCGCUCAACGUCUGAAUUGCGUCGCGAACUGUUAGGCUUGAGUAGACGGAAUGUCGGCGGAAUUCGUGGUGUAGCGGUGAAAUGCUUAGAUAUCACGAAGAACUCCGAUUGCGAAGGCAGCUGACAGCAGUUUUACUGACGCUCAUGCUCGAAAGUGCGGGUAUCGAACAGGAUUAGAUACCCUGGUAGUCCACGCUGUAAACGAUGGACACUCGUUGUCGGCGAUAGACAGUCGGUGGCCAAGCGAAAGCGAUAAGUCAUCCACCUGGGGAGUACGACCGCAAGGUUGAAACUCAAAGGAAUUGACGGGG